rnacentral:tRNA from 1 species
ACUAUUUUGACAGAAAAAUGUGAUGGUUUUAGAAAUCGUGAAUAUAUAAUUUUAAUUAUAUAAAUAGUA